rnacentral:rRNA from 1 species
GACGAACGCUGGCGGCGUGCUUAACACAUGCAAGUCGAACGGAAAGGCCCUGCUUUUGUGGGGUGCUCGAGUGGCGAACGGGUGAGUAACACGUGAGUAACCUGCCCUUGACUUUGGGAUAACUUCAGGAAACUGGGGCUAAUACCGGAUAGGAGCUCCUGCUGCAUGGUGGGGGUUGGAAAGUUUCGGCGGUUGGGGAUGGACUCGCGGCUUAUCAGCUUGUUGGUGGGGUAGUGGCUUACCAAGGCUUUGACGGGUAGCCGGCCUGAGAGGGUGACCGGCCACAUUGGGACUGAGAUACGGCCCAGACUCCUACGGGAGGCAGCAGUGGGGAAUAUUGCACAAUGGGCGGAAGCCUGAUGCAGCAACGCCGCGUGCGGGAUGACGGCCUUCGGGUUGUAAACCGCUUUCGCCUGUGACGAAGCGUGAGUGACGGUAAUGGGUAAAGAAGCACCGGCUAACUACGUGCCAGCAGCCGCGGUGAUACGUAGGGUGCGAGCGUUGUCCGGAUUUAUUGGGCAUAAAGGGCUCGUAGGUGGUUGAUCGCGUCGGAAGUGUAAUCUUGGGGCUUAACCCUGAGCGUGCUUUCGAUACGGGUUGACUUGAGGAAGGUAGGGGAGAAUGGAAUUCCUGGUGGAGCGGUGGAAUGCGCAGAUAUCAGGAGGAACACCAGUGGCGAAGGCGGUUCUCUGGGCCUUUCCUGACGCUGAGGAGCGAAAGCGUGGGGAGCGAACAGGCUUAGAUACCCUGGUAGUCCACGCUGUAAACGGUGGGUACUAGGUGUGGGGUCCAUUCCACGGGUUCCGUGCCGUAGCUAACGCUUUAAGUACCCCGCCUGGGGAGUACGGCCGCAAGGCUAAAACUCAAAGGAAUUGACGGGGCCCCGCACAAGCGGCGGAGCAUGCGGAUUAAUUCGAUGCAACGCGUAGAACCUUACCUGGGUUUGACAUGGAUCGGGAGUGCUCAGAGAUGGGUGUGCCUCUUUUGGGGUCGGUUCACAGGUGGUGCAUGGCUGUCGUCAGCUCGUGUCGUGAGAUGUUGGGUUAGUCCCGCAACGAGCGCAACCCUUGUUCACUGUUGCCAGCACGUUAUGGUGGGGACUCAGUGGAGACCGCCGGGGUCAACUCGGAGGAGGGUGGGGAUGACGUCAAGUCAUCAUGCCCCUUAUGUCCAGGGCUUCACGCAUGCUACAAUGGCUGGUACAGAGAGUGGCGAGCCUGUGAGGGUGAGCGAAUCUCGGAAAGCCGGUCUCAGUUCGGAUUGGGGUCUGCAACUCGACCUCAUGAAGUCGGAGUCGCUAGUAAUCGCAGAUCAGCAACGCUGCGGUGAAUACGUUCCCGGG